CACCGUCCUCUUUGUUGUGCAACGAAAUCGGUAUCGGCAACCCCAGGUCUUCCACUCGGAACCCUGCGCCUUGUCGUUGAAAGGCGGCCAGAGCGAGCAGACCCUGGAGCCCGGGUCCUCGCAGAGAGGCGCCCGACUGGGAGGCAGCAGCGCCUGGCUGCGCUGAGGGAAGGCCUGGUGCACUGCAGUGGCGGCGGUGCCUGGGCCUUGCACCUUUGGGCCUCUGCAGCUUGCCGGAGUGCUUGCCGAGAUUCCAGCCCCUCUGCCGUCCCCAGAGCUCCAGGGCCGGGUCUGCAGCACGCUGACUUUGGAAGCCAGGACUUGCUGCGGACUGUUGCUUCUGCUCUUUUCUGCCCUCGAGUUGGAGGCUGCAGACUGGACCCCUUUUCCUCUCCCAUGGGUCCAGGCGGGACCAGCUCCCAGAGCGCGGGGAGCUCAGAGGAGGCUCCGAGCUGCCUGCCUGCGGCAUCCUGCACGGAGCAGUCAACGGAAUCCGUUUCCCACACUUUCCCUCUCCGUCCCAGGACUGUUAAAUAUUCGCCAACAAAUCCUGUCGUUGCGCUGGCACUGCGUGUGCUCUCCUGCCACAGGCUCGCUCCACGCCCCACCGUGUCCAGCUGGGGAGACCCUUGCCUGGUCUCCGUCCGCCCGUGUCACUGUCACGGGGCACCGAGGAACUCCACAGGCCACAGCGCCCUGUGUGCACCUGGCUCGGAGGCCCACAGCCGCGCCACCGGAUGGCUGCCCUCCUAGAUGCACCCACUGCCUCCCCUUCCUGCGCCCCGCUCGGGCAAGGCCCUGACAGCAACGAAAACUGGGAGCAGAAGCGCUGGCUCGCACGGCCAGGCAGCCUGGACCGAGGAGCCACAGGGUGGGAGCAGACUCCAAAUCAGCGCCCGCGGAAUCCACAUCUCCUGUUGGGCUCUGGACCAUGAACUGGAAACCCGUCACUGCUUUAUGUUGGUGGAGAGGGCUUCCUGAGCAGGCAGGAAAAGGCCAGAGACCAGAAGGGCUCAGGCAGGAAAAACAUUACUAGUUCUGCAGAGUGACCCCAGGGUGAUGGGAUGGGUCCCUGUGUCCUCCGGGAACAACCCCCCUCCUCCCCAGGAGGGCGGGGCACCCAUGCCCCAGGCUCUACCACCUGCACUCACCGGAAUCCUUCCCUCCAGCGUCCCGCACCGCGCCUGGCACAGAGGCCCCCAACCAGGGAAGGGACACAUCCGCCUCUAACCUGACAGGGUCUCUAAGUCACUAAAUUCCCCAGGCUGUGUUCAAAGGGAAUCCUCCUGCCUCAGCCUUCUAGCAUGCUGAGAUUACAGAGCUCUGACACCUGGCCCGAGCCAGCCAGUGAGUGCAGAGCCCCUGGAGUGGUGUCCUAGGAGCUCCUGGAAGACCAGAGGACUGAGGCUGAGCCCCCUGCCUGUCUAUCCCAGCUCCCACGUGGCAUUCAGCAAGUGGGUGCCAGCAGCAUGUGACCGGAACAUUGAAGGGAACCAGCCACCAGAGCCCUGCUGUGACAGCACAGGGAUUUAGGAAGGAAAUGGACUUGCUGCGGGGCCCUCCAUGCACAGGACAUGGGGUUCGGUGGAGAGCCCUCAAGCUCUGUGAAAUCUGUUCUGGAGGGUUCAGGCUCCCUGAAACCUGGGCACUGCUGGGCCCUGCAGGGCCUGGGUGUCGCCUGGCUCCCUCCCACCCCUGGAUCUCAACAUUGUGCCCCGUGAAGCUCACAGUGACCCCUGUGGCAGGUGCUGAGAGGGUUCCACUGAGGCUCAGGGGCACGAGCCUAUCAGGCACAGGGACCUGUCUCAGGCAGCCACAGCAGGACUCACAUGAGGCACUGCCGACACACCUUUAUCCCAGGGUAUUGGCUUUCAGGGUGACAGAGGUGUGACCAGGGAGGGAGCCCUGGCCUAGGGUUUCCUUGCAGCCCCCCCCCCCUUGCCCCAUGAGGUCAGAGGUGGUGCUGGCCUCUUGGUCACCUGCGUGCAUGCCUGGGCCCAGGAGGGUUAGGCCAUGCGGGGUCCGUGCUUCCUGAACCCACCUCUUGCUGGGGAGCCCCCCUUGCCCACACCCUGAGGCACUGAGCCGGGGCUGCCUGGGUCCGAUGGGGCCCACACCUCAGCCAGCGGCCUUGGGCUCGCUUGGGGACUAACACACGGAGCAGGUCACGCUCGGUCUCUGCACCUCUAAUGAGGUAUUUCCAAUCAUGAAGGUGCGUUUGAAGAAAUAGGAAUCCGUUAAGUGUGCGGGAGCCAGGCCCGCGUGGAACCUGGUGGUUCUAACGAGUGCCAGCGCCAGCUUCCACAUUGGAGAAAUAACAGUUUCUCAUAGAAAUGUGGCAUUUUUAAAGGAGGUUAAUUAAUAAACAGCAGGUAAUUGUUCGUGGCACAUUGUGGCAGAGGGUAAUUUUCAUUUUAGAGGAUGGAAGGGCCAAAUGCCCCUCCCCACUCAGCAUUUUUCUGUAAUAAUCACCUUGGCUUCCCCUCCGCCUUUAAUUUUUACAGCUGGAGCUGUUUAUCAUCACUCCAACUUUCACUAAAAAGGCAAAACUAUCACUUAAACAAAGCCAUUGAAAACUCAGCAUCAUCUGUGGAUUUCUUAACAUAAAUAAAUCAUACAAACCAAGA
ensembl:lncRNA